rnacentral:rRNA from 1 species
GAUGAACGCUGGCGGCGUGCCUAAUACAUGCAAGUCGAGCGAAUGGAUUAAGAGCUUGCUCUUAUGAAGUUAGCGGCGGACGGGUGAGUAACACGUGGGUAACCUGCCCAUAAGACUGGGAUAACUCCGGGAAACCGGGGCUAAUACCGGAUAACAUUUUGAACCGCAUGGUUCGAAAUUGAAAGGCGGCUUCGGCUGUCACUUAUGGAUGGACCCGCGUCGCAUUAGCUAGUUGGUGAGGUAACGGCUCACCAAGGCAACGAUGCGUAGCCGACCUGAGAGGGUGAUCGGCAACACUGGGACUGGAACACGGCCCAGACUCCUACGGGAGGCAGCAGUAGGGAAUCUUCCGCAAUGGACGAAAGUCUGACGGAGCAACGCCGCGUGAGUGAUGAAGGCUUUCGGGUCGUAAAACUCUGUUGUUAGGGUAGAACAAGUGCUAGUUGAAUAAGCUGGCACCUUGACGGUACCUAACCAGAAAGCCACGGCUAACUACGUGCCAGCAGCCGCGGUAA